GGGGAUUUAGCUCAGUGGCACAGUGCCUGCCUGGCAAGCAUGAGUUCGUGAGUUUAAUUCCCA
rnacentral:tRNA from 1 species